CGGAUCUUUCCAUCGUAUAACAGGAAAAAUUGAUCAAUACACAUUAAGCUUGAUAACACUGCAGAGUGCGCCCUCGUGGAUGCUCGGUUAAUCUCCCCAAACGAUGUGGAGGGGAUGAAUAGCGCAGGUCGCAGAACGGUGACAUAGCUUCGUAUCAUUCCUUCCGUGGUCUCCGAACCACUAACGUGCAAGUGAGUCUCGUACGGAAAAUAAUCCUUAUCCGUAGACAUCAUACAUCUCAAGUGAUAUCUUUACAAGUAGUUCAAGCGGUGGAAACAAUUUCUUCGUUCCCACUAGUCAGUUAUUUAUGUCAUCAAUAUCAGGAAUACGAAACAAAGUAAAGACGGGUGCCGUUCUCGUAGCCCGGAAGUACUGCAAAGGAACCGGAUUGACGGAUAUGUGAGAUAUGAAUAUGUCCGAGGAAAAUAUGCCAUUUCGAUUACACUCAACGUGUUAAUUAAACAUCCAACAUCCGAAAUAAAACUUUUCUAUUUACUUUGGCACUUCCUAUUCUUACGACGACACAUCCUACAUGAUUUUAUGAAGUCGGCGAGCUUGUUACAUUGAUAAUUGAAUUCACUUGAAAUCUUCCACUGGCGAGAAUCUUCCAAAAUUGACGACAGAAGCACAUAAUUACCUGGUUUAUGCAGAGAAUGUGACACCUCAUUAUCGUACCUCAUUAUUAUAGCAAUCAUCGAUCUUAAUAUUGGAUUUUAAUAAACAAGCACAUUGGAUUGUCAGAAGAGUGGUUCGAAAAGUCGUUGGCAAAUCUAUGCAAAGAAAGUGCACCGUUACCUGUUGCUGAGAGAUGAUGUACUCUUCAAUGUCUCCAUAUCGAUGUAUUGCAACAUAACUUUACCAUAGAGGAUGCAUUACUGGAUGAGGAUCAACGAAAGAACAAAUUUAAAUAUGUUCCACUUGGAUCGCCGAAUAUUUAAUUAUCACGCUAAGCGUACGCGAAAAACUGUAUUUUCCCUGGACGUAUUAUAUUUAAGAUAUCAGUUAAUUCAGCUUCUUUGCUGUUAUUUUCUGGUAUUGGAAUUGC